UCAUACCAGAGAUGGUCUUCAGGAAUUUAAGCACAAGAGAAACAUAACCAAACUUCAAUUUCAGAAAGAUCUCUCACACAACAAUACAGAGAAAGCAGAUAGGACUGAAUGUAGGAAGGAGAGUUACAAUAGAAAACUUCAAACAAUGAAGACAGGGACUCUGUUAUCCCGGUCAGUUUUCUUGGGAAUGAUGAAUGUGACAUAAGAAAACAUCAGAAGGAUACUUACUACAUAAUACACCCAGGGAAUCCAUAUAUUAUGAAC
rnacentral:lncRNA from 1 species